rnacentral:rRNA from 1 species
UGAGGAAUAUUGGUCAAUGGGCGGAAGCCUGAACCAGCCAUGCCGCGUGCAGGACGACGGCCCUACGUGUUGUAAACUGCGUUUUCCGGGGAAGAACUAACCCCCUGGCGGGGGGGAUGCCGGUACCCCGGGAAUAAGGAUCGGCUAACUCCGUGCCAGCAGCCGCGGUAAUACGGAGGAUCCUAGCGUUAUCCGGAUUUACUGGGUUUAAAGGGUGCGUAGGCGGGCGUUUAAGUCCGCGGUGAAAGUCUGCGGCUCAACCGUAGGAUUGCCGUGGAUACUGGACGUCUUGGAUUCGGUCGGGGCGGGCGGAAUGCGUGGUGUAGCGGUGAAAUGCAUAGAUAUCACGCAGAACGCCGAUAGCGAAGGCAGCUCGCCGGGCCGAAAUCGACGCUGAGG